AAAGACCAAAUGAAUAGUGUCCUCUAAUGUGUAUUUGCAAGUCAGUUUAGAAAAUGGGACUCUAUACCACCUACUGGGCCCUUCUGCCGGCCACCGGCUCCCUAAGCAAGCUUGCUUAAUCCACACUCGCCACAUAAGCAGCUCCCCAACCCAUGGCUGCAAAGAGCCCAGCCUGGAUUCAGACCCAGGCCAUCCAAUUCAAGGCACAUGUAUACUAGAAGAAUUAACAGCUCACAUCACCAGAGGAGGUCUUCACAGAAACGAGCAUUUUUAAAAUAGUAACUGACCCUCUUGAUGUAUUUCCCCAACAGGUGCAUGACUACCUCCGCAGCAAGCUGUGCUCCCUCUACGAAAACGACUGCAUUUUUGAUAAAUUUGAAUGUGUGUGGAAUGGGUCAGACAGCGUCAUCAUGACAGGCUCCUACAACAACUUCUUCAGGAUGUUCGACAGAAACACCAAGCGUGACGUCACCCUGGAGGCCUCAAGGGAAAACAGCAAACCCCGGGCUAUCCUAAAACCGCGGAAAGUGUGCGUAGGGGGCAAGCGGAGAAAAGACGAGAUCAGUGUCGACAGUCUGGACUUUAGCAAAAAGAUCUUGCAUACGGCUUGGCACCCUUCAGAAAAUAUUAUAGCAGUGGCGGCUACAAAUAACCUAUAUAUAUUCCAGGACAAGGUUAACUAGGAGGACAAGUUAUUACUUAAUAAUCUCACAUACUGAAUACUAGUCAGACAUGUUUUUAAAUGUUUCUUUGGGUCUUCAUUUGAUGCAUUGACAUUAAUUUCCCUAUGCAGAAAACAAUUGGAAUAGAAUUAAAAGGAGUCCAACUUUCCCAGAUCCCCAGUUCUAAGAAACUUUUGUCAAACCCAAUAGGUUCUGAGACAUUUCUGUUUAGAAUUGAGAGCUGCCAGCUAACACUAAUUCUCCAUAGUUGACUUGAAUUUCUGAUGCUUUUCUUGCCCGGUUUUCUCUGGUGGGUCCAGUGUUUUGUUUCUAGGUGUCUGCUGAGAUAAAAUGAGGUUGUCUGUAGUAUUUAAAGAGAAAAGAGAUAAGUUUUUUUUUAAUUAAGCAAUUCCAUUUGAUUGAAAAAAAUCAACAAAAAAAUAAACACCGUUUACUCUUAGA